rnacentral:ncRNA from 1 species
UAACGGUUUCAGGUACUUAGUUUAAAAGGGAAAGCGGUAAAAAUCCGCUGCAGCCCCCGCUACUGUAUACGAAGACGAUUCCGUGGUCCACUGGCAUAGGCCGGGAAGGACGGAGGAGGAUGACGCGUGAGCCAGGAGACCUGCCUGCAACUAU